CAAAGCCAACCGCAGCAGGGACCCUCGCAUCCCCAGCCAGCGGCGGACGGGUGAGUAAUGCCUAGGAAUCNUGCCCGAUAGUGGGGGACNAACGCGGCGAAACGAACGCUAAUACCGCAUACGUCCUACGGGAGAAAGUGGGGGACCCUCCGGACCCAACGCUAACAGAUGAGCCUAGGUCGGAUUAGCUAGUUGGUGGGGUAAAGGCCCACCNAAGGCGACGAUCCGUAACNUGGUCUGAGAGGAUGAUCAGUCACACUGGAACUGAGACACGGUCCAGACUCCNUACGGGAGGCAGCAGUGGNGGAAUAUUGGACAAUGGGCGAAAGCCUGAUCCAGCCAUGCCGCGUGUGUGAANGAAGGUCUUCGGAUUGUANAAGCACUUUAAGUUGGGAGGAAGGGCGCUAAGCGAAUACCCAACAGUCUUGANCGUUACCGACAGAAUAAGNCACCGGCUAACUUCGUGCCAGCAGCCGCGGUAAUACGAAGGGUGCAAGCGUUNAAUCGGAAUUACUGGGCGNUAAAGCGCGCGUAGGUGGUUCGGCAAGUUGGAUGUGAAAGCCCCGGGCUCAANCCUGGGAACCGCAUCCAANAACUACCGGACUAGAGUACGGUAGAGGGUGGUGGAAUUUCCUGUGUAGCGGUNGAAAUGCGUAGAUAUAGGNAAGGAACACCAGUGGCGAAGGCGACCACCUGGACCGAUACUGACACUGAGGUNGCGAAAGCGUGGGGAGCANAACAGGAUUAGAUACCCUGGUAGUCCACGCCGUAAACGAUGUCGACUAGCCGNUUGGGCUCCUUGAGAGCUNUAGUGGCGCAGCUAACGCAUUAAGUCGACCGCCUGGGGAGUACGGCCGCAAGNGUUAAAACUCAAAUGAAUNUGACGGGGGCCCGCACAAGCGGUGGAGCAUGUGGUUUAAUUCGAAGCAACGCNGAAGAACCUUACCUGGCCNUUGACAUCCUGAGAACUUUCAAGAGAUGGAUGGGUGCCUUCGGGAACGCAGAGCACAGGUGCUGCAUGGCUNGUCGUCAGCUCGUGUCGUGAGAUGUUGGGUUAAGUCCCGUAACGAGCGCAACNCCUUGUCCUUAGUUACCANGCAACUCGGGCGGGCACUCUAAGGAGACUGCCGGUGACAAACCGGAGGAAGGNUGGGGAUGACGUCAAGUCNAUCAUGGCCCUUACGGCCAGGGCUACACACGUGCUACAAUGGUCGGUACAAANGGGUUGCCAAGUCGCGAGNGCGGAGCCAAUCCCAGAAAACCGAUCGUAGUCCGGAUCGCAGUCUGCAACUCNGACUGCGUGAAGUCGGAANUCGCUAGUAAUCGCGAAUCAGAAUGUCGCGGUGAAUACGUUCCCGGGCCUUGNUACACACCGCCCGUCACANCCAUGGGAGUGGGUUGCUCCAGAAGUAGCUAGUCUAACCCUCGGGAGGACGGUUAC
rnacentral:rRNA from 1 species